ACCGUGGUAAUUCUAGAGCUAAUACAUGCUAAAAACCUCGACUUCGGAAGGGGUGUAUUUAUUAGAUAAAAAACCAAUGCCCUUCGGGGCUCCUUGGUGAUUCAUAAUAACUUAACGAAUCGCAUGGCCUUGCGCCGGCGAUGGUUCAUUCAAAUUUCUGCCCUAUCAACUUUCGAUGGUAGGAUAGUGGCCUACCAUGGUCUUAACGGGUAACGGGGAAUUAGGGUUCUAUUCCGGAGAGGGAGCCUGAGAAACGGCUACCACAUCCAAGGAAGGCAGCAGGCGCGCAAAUUACCCAAUCCCAAUUCGGGGAGGUAGUGACAAUAAAUACUGAUACGGGGCUCUUUCGGGUCUCGUAAUUGGAAUGAGUACAAUCUAAAUCCCUUAACGAGGAACAAUUGGAGGGCAAGUCUGGUGCCAGCAGCCGCGGUAAUUCCAGCUCCAAUAGCGUAUAUUAAAGUUGUUGCCGUUAAAAAGCUCGUAGUUGAACCUUGGACCUGGCUGAUCUGUCCUCCUAAUCGAGCGCACGGAUUCGGUCGGGUCUUUCCUUCUGGGGAGCCCUAUGCCCUUCACUGGGUGUAGUGGGGAACCAGGACUUUUACCUUGAAAAAAUUAGAGUGUUCAAAGCAGGCCUUUGCUCGAAUACAUUAGCAUGGAAUAAUAGAAUAGGACAUCGGUUCUAUUUUGUUGGUUUCUAGGACCGCUGUAAUGAUUAAUAGGGAUAGUCGGGGGCGUCAGUAUUCAAUUGUCAGAGGUGAAAUUCUUGGAUUUAUUGAAGACUAACUACUGCGAAAGCAUUCGCCAAGGAUGUUUUCAUUAAUCAGUGAACGAAAGUUAGGGGAUCGAAGACGAUCAGAUACCGUCGUAGUCUUAACCAUAAACUAUGCCGACUAGGGAUCGGACGGUGGUUUUUUUAUGCCCCGUUCGGCACCUUACGAGAAAUCAAAGUUUUUGGGCUCGGGGGGGAGUAUGGUCGCAAGGCUGAAACUUAAAGAAAUUGACGGAAGGGCACCACCAGGCGUGGAGCCUGCGGCUUAAUUUGACCCAACACGGGGAAACUCACCAGGUCCAGACAUGCUUAGGAUUGACAGAUUGAUAGCUCUUUCUUGAUUGUAUGGGUGGUGGUGCAUGGCCGUUCUUAGUUGGUGGAGUGAUUUGUCUGCUUAAUUGCGAUAACGAACGAGACCUUGACCUGCUAAAUAGCCAGGC
rnacentral:rRNA from 1 species